rnacentral:lncRNA from 1 species
UUUUGAGUUCUUAAGCAGUGUAAGCAAGGACGUAAGUCCACCUGCUUCUACAAUCUUCUUCUGGUUUCUUUCUGCAACAUCAGGGUUGAUAGAUGUUAUGGCUAAUUUAUUUAUAAUAUCAGUUGCAACAAAUAGACUUUCAAGUUAUGUUUGUUGAAAUAUAAACUUUAUUUUAGGCCUAAAAGGCCCAAUUUCUGUAAAUAUGUGUAGCAUGUUCUGCCAGGAGCAUGGUUGAAAGCGAGAGAUUACCAGAGGCAUUUUGAGCAAAACCCGUGGGUGGUGCAGUUUAACUUUCUAACAGGUCUCCAACAAGAAGUGUAUGGGGAAAACAUCAGAAGAAACAUGGAAGCCAAGGAUAUGAAAAAUCCUAUGGAUGAAGAAAUUAAAGUGAUAAAAAGAAAUAACACAGGGGAGCUAAUUUCACUUCCAAAGGGUAAUGUCAAGAAAGAAGUCAAAAGAUAUAAGACAAGGUUGUGUGAAAAGGCUUCUGUCAAAGAGUUGAUAUUAGGUAUUUGCU